rnacentral:lncRNA from 1 species
AGGCUCAGGAGGCACCAGGAAUGCUCUUGUACCUUGCUGAGGAUAAUGAGGCUGGAGCCACUCGAAAAUAUUCGAGUAAUACCCGCGUCAGAUACCCACCCUAACAUGCGUCGUCCGACUCAGAGUUGAAAUUCGCGCUAGCGCUGCGGACGUUUACUAACCGAUUCCACUUAAAGCUUGAUAUCAACACGCUGGAAGCACACGCGUACUGAACUCUGCAACCAAUUUAAUGCUGCCGGUGGAGGACGCUGCCUCUACAUGCUAUCCGAUUUGACCUUGUCCAAUUUCAAGAUCCUAUCCACCCACAUAGCCUUGUUUUCAUGCCUUUGAAAUUUUAAAAGUUUACAAUAUUCUUCAUCAUAUCGAAUCUUUAGACAUAUAUAUAUAUAAUAUUAAAUAUAGAUAAAAAAUAACUAAUUAUAUAGUCUAGUUAGUCCACAACUGGACACUAAUUAUCAAAUACAAACGAAUGUGCUACAGU